UGUCGCUAGGCAACCCUUGGUGUUGGCUUUGAGGCCCUCAAAGGAUGGGCUUGGGCUGGAAAUCAGAGGUGGUGUGUUAAAAACCACACUGACAAACAGGUCUUUGAAAUGAGAUUGGAAAACCUUGCUCCAGUGAACAGGAGCUGCAAUCUCUUCCUCUGCAGAGACAGAGCUUUCCCUGAUGGAAUAGGGAACCUUUUGUUCCCUGCCUGGCAAUCCGUGGACCCAGCAUCCCGGCAGGGCUGGGCACAGAGACCCUCUCAAAAGGCACCAGCAGCCCAAGGAGGUGUCAGCCCAGCCCUGCCCUGGUUUAUUCCCCGUGAGGUGCAAAGGGGUGACAACGCUGCCACCACCCUUUGCCAGGCUCUGAGCUCGGUCAGGGAUUAAGAGAAGAUCAAGCCAAGCUUCUUCACACAAAACCUCCAGAGCACUGGCAUCCUGACUGGCAAAUUUAAGAGAAAAGGUUAAUAUGAAACUCACAGCUGAGACACUAAAGGAUAUUCGAGCCAGAAGAAGACCUACAGGCCAAGAUGUCGGCUUGGAUGUUUUGUGUGUAUUUCAAAGCUCUACUUUGACCCCAUUUUCAUGGUUUAGUCUCUGGACUUACCCAAUAUCAAGAGGCUCUGUGCUGAUUACUCUGUUUUCCUGGGACCAGAGGAAAGAUGAAAUAUUAUUUGUGAGCUGCUUUAGAAUUCCUGCUUUGUUCCAGCUGAACUUAAUUCAGUUGUCUACUCUUCACCAUGCUGGGAGCAUGAAUCAAAGAGAAGAUGAUGUUUGUCAAGGCUUGGUCAACGUGGGACCAGAGGGGCUGAAAAGAAAUCCAAAAAAGCUGGAAUGACAAUUGUCUUCUGCCAAGAAAUUCAAGGGCUGUGUGGAUGCCACUGAUUUGACUUCUCUGCUGCUUUCAGAGCUUAUCUGAAGAGUUUCCAUCCCACAAUCACCAGUUUUCCAGACUGGUGAAAAGAACAAAAUCCAUGUGCUAAAUAAAUAUUAAACAUCAAUACCUGUGGUGCA
rnacentral:lncRNA from 1 species